CUACCAUAUGAACAUUAGGUAACGCUAAUCAUUUUGACGCGAUUGUCAUCGGUCAUGUCGUGAAUAUAUACAAUCUCUUUGCAAAAAUACGAAAAGCUUGCGCAAUCUCUUUUCAAUGGUCACUCCUUUCAGAAAACCAUUUACUAUGUUUGAUCCUAGCAAGUAAUGUCCCCUUAUAACACGGUCGUAUUUACUCCAUAUCUAGAGCAGAAUUAAAGGACUCUAACCACUCGAGUCAAUCAUAUAGUUAAGAAGCCUAACCACCUUACUUUAAGUUCUCUCAUGAAUACAAUAAAAGCACUACGCAACUACCAUCUUCGUCCAUUUAACUAUUCAUAUAUCCGUGUCUGACGAAGAACAAGAUGAUUAUGUAAGACACAAGAGGAAUAAAGAGAAGAUGAAAAAAGAAAAAGAAAAACUAUUUGCAGCGACACAGCACAGCAGCAGCUGAAGCAGCUGGCUGCAUACAGAUUGUUUUGGUCCCUUCCAAGAGCCAUUAAUGCGUUCUUAUUUCUCCAUCAUACGGCGUUACUAUCUGUUAAUUCUUCAAGAAACAUAAAAAGUUAAGGUACAUCAAUUUUCCCUUCUUCGAGUGAUGAAUAUAUUUAAAUAUUAUAUGUACUGGCUGUUGUGAAAUCCAACAGUCAAUUUAUUGAUUGUGCUGUGGGAAUUAAUUUAUAUGAUGAUCAUUUAAACUUUACUCAAUUAAGAUUCUAAGUUUAAUGGUGGCAUGGAUUACAAAAAUAUAAUUAUCCACCAUGAAGGGGCGACAUCCUUCCAUAUUUAUUAUAAACCAUCAUUGGAUUUUUUAUCAUCAUAGCUAAGGUACAGAAAUUACUGCGUCAUAUACUGUGUACGUUUAUUUUUCUAGGAAUUAGAUUUUGUAAAUCCAACUCAGGUUUUCUUGAGACUUCAAAAUAUAUAUCAAAAUGGGUGACGUUCCGUUGGGCGCAUUCACUGAAACAAAUAUUUUCUCCGUGUCAUUUUGAGAUAGGCCUUAAAUAUGAUGCUUAAGUUUCUGAUAUAUUAUUCAUCUGGGACAAUGGCUAGAGGUAUCAUGUGAGUACAAUAAGAGAUUAUUAAUUUGUUAGGUGCAUGGUAUUUGAUAGGGCACUUAGGAAAUCACAGUAAUUAAAAUCACUGUGAAACAAAUACAUGGAAACAAGAAUUACUAAAUAAUUCAAUUAUAGUUGAUGACCAUUUUAAAGAAGAUUAGUAAUGAUCCUCGUUCUUUUACUCAUAUUUCUUUACAAUCCACGGUAUUUUCCAUGGGUAAACUUUCGUGCCGAAUUCAGCUUCAUGUUUUGUCGCUACAAUUUCGUCACAAAUAAAAAAUAUUGGUAAUGACUAAUAACCUUUGUUCUUUUAGGGAUAAUGACUUGAGAGGGUAAGAUACUUUUGACUUUGAUCAUGUUUGGUUACUGAACUUUAUUUCGUGCUUUAUUAACCCUUUAACUUGUUGAAUUAUACUAAUGUUCCUCUUAAAGGAUUUAUCAAUCCUACGUGUACUUUUUAUCUUACAUGGCGAAAGAGGUGGCAUUUAGGCCUCAAUUUGUCGUCUCCUUCUCGUUAAACUUCACCCCGAAGUCUCAUUUGGUCCUUAAACUUGACUAGGGCACAAAAUUCUCCAUCGAUCAUUCGUCUCCUUCAAUCGUUCUGUUGAAUGGCAUCAUCUCCAAAUCUCACUGAUCAGAACUUCAUUGUAGUAGAUUUCCACUACAAUGGUCAGUUUGCACCUAAUCCCUUAGUUUACUUUGAUCCCGACAGAGCAUCAGUGCGAGAUGUUGACUUCAGUGCGUUUGGGUAUGAGCAGUUCAUGGAAUUCCUUCACAAGCUCACCAAAUCGAGAAGCAAAGACAUUUAUUUUUGCCUUCCACAAGAGUCUUUAGGUCUGGGAAUUCAUACACCGGUGAACAAGGGUGAUUACAAGGAAUUUUUGGAUUUGGCGUAUGCUAAUGACAAGAGAAUGAAUGUAUAUGUGGAUCACCAUAAUGAACCUAUCUUCGACUGGAUUGACGUUGAGGAAAGUGUAAGUGAAAAUGAAGACCUAGAUGAAGCUGAGGAUUCUGUUAUUCAAGAUUCAUAUUCUGUUGAUCAUGAAGAAGAUGAUGCCACAUAUCCAUUUUAAACAAACAAAACUACACAUGAUAGAUUCUUAAACAUCCUUUGUGAACCUACAGAGAGUGAAGAUCAAGAUGAUGAAUACGUGCCACCCCAGUACCAUGUGUAUGAUGAGAGACAGUUAUGGGAUCAGAUGAAACCAAUGAUAGGUAUGCGAUUUUCUAACCCUACUGAGCCUAAACAUAUGUUAAGAAACUAUGUAAUUGCUAAUGGGUAUGAUCUAUGGUUUGAAAAAAAAUGACUUUGAUAGACUGUUAGUGAAAUGUUGCAAAAAGAAUAAGUCACCAUCUUGCCCUUCCAGACUAUGGGCCUCCUAGAUGAGUAAAGAAAAGACUUUUCAUAUCAAAUCUCUAGUGAGUGAACAUAAUUUUUGUAGGGUGUUUAAGUUUGGGUCAAUAUUAACUUAUAGAUGGAUGGGGAAACAUUUUAUGAGUCAAAUUAUAGAGAACCCAAAAAUGAGUGCAAAGAAGAUGAAAGCUAAAGUUUCAACGACAUUCAACAUAAAUGUGAGUGUGGGGCAGUGCAGAAAUGCAAAAAAAAAUUGCAGUACAAGAGAUUGAAGGAAGUCUAAUUAAACAUUAUGGGAUAUUGUGGUCAUAUGGUGAGGAUAUUAUCAGGUCAAAUCCUGGGUCUACUUUGAGGUUGGAUGUAGACAUCAUGCCAGAUUCCACAACUUUGUUUUCCAAGUUCUAUGUAUAUUUCAAAGUUGUAAGGGAUGGUUGGUUAGAAGGGUGUAGGCUUGUAAUUGGGCUUGAUGGUUGCUUUUUAAAGGGUAUAGUUAGAAGAGAAGUUCUUUCAGCUGUUGGGAGAGAUGCAAACAACCACAUCUACCCUAUAACAUGGGUUGUGGUAUGUGUUUAGAAUAAAGAAACAUGGAAGUGGUUCAUAGAUUUGCUUAUGGAUGACAUUAAUGGUGGUUUUGGUGCAGGCAUUACCCUUCUUUCUGAUGGACACAAGGGGUGAUUACAAACAGUUAAGGAAAGAUGUCUAGAAGUUGAACAUAGGCAAUGUGCCAGACACAUUGUGGCCAAUUUUAGUAAAAGGUUUACUGGUCAAGAAUAAAUGAAGUUAUUUUGGAGGGUUGUAAAGGCUAGUACUGUGGAGAAGUUCAGAGGUGUAAUGGAGAAGAUCAAAUCUAUUGAUACUCAUAGAUCUAUGGUAAACUUAUAUAUUUUCUCUUUCAUUGCAAUGGAAUCAGAGUACUUUUUCUUCUUCAUUUGUUCCAUGUCUUCCUUCACCUUCUCUACUUCGGUCUUCAGUGCUACUAAUUCAGCUUUCAUUCCCUCCACCACUUCCAUUAAAGGCAUCUGUACAGGUUCUACAUCCAACGAUUUCCAAUAUUUGCAUUUACCCUUCAACACAAAAAAUUCAAAAGGAGAUUUCAAAUCUGGAAUAAAUGAAUCAGAAAAGAGGGAAAAUUCAAGUGAAAUUGCUUACCUCAUUGCACACCAUGAAAUGCCUCCUUAGAUUCUUUGGUGUUGUUGAUGUUAAAUUACGUGCAAGGAACCCAUAAUCACAAGUUUUUGGAUCAUUCACUGUGGAUUUCUUGCUUGAUCGAUUGAGGGAGGAUAAGAAGCUGUAGGAAGAAGCCAUCGGGUAUUAGGGCAUCAGGGUAUUAGGGCACAAUAAAGGAACAACAUACACCCCUCUUUUAAUAACAAUAACCCUACAUGCCACAUAGGAUCAAACUGACACGUAGGAUCAAUAAAUCCAUUGCAACCGGCAAAAAACAAUCGGAAGGGGAACAUUAGCAUAAUUCAACAAGUUAAAGGGUUAAUAGAGCACGGAAAAAAAGUUCAGUGACCAAAGGCAAAAGUAUGUUACCCUCUCAAGUCAUUAUCCAUUCUUUUAUCCAUAAUAUUGGCAAUUGCCUUGGUUCAGUUACAGUAUUUUGUUACAUAUAGGUAUUAAGAUAUUGAUUCCUUAUGUAAUUUUAGAUGUUUGUAAGACACGUCAUAAUUUUUUACAUUUUAGGGGUUUAAUUAAAAGCUCUCAAUGGUUGCUUUCACCACCACAACACAGACUUUCAUAUAUGGCCUUUAAUCCAUGUACGAAACACUUAGCAACAGACAAAAGUGAUCACGUGUUGUGGACUAAUUUUUAGUGCCAGAGUUAGCAACAACUCUUCCUAAUCAGCGAUAUCCAUCGAUAAACCUAUAGAGUUUAUAUUCCAACUUGCGUAGCCGAAGAUUAAAAUUAAAACAACCAAAUAGGUAGCAACAAAUUUGUACUAGAUUUGCAACUAAAGUUUAUCCACUACAAGAAAUUAGGGCCUUUACCCACACAUGUUAUGUGUUGGUAAAAGCCGCUUAUGUGUUGGUAAUAUGUUUUACCUAAACAUAAGUUAAGUGUCACUAUGUGUUGGCUCAUGCCUGUUGGAAUAGAUCAUUACCAACACAUAAUUUAUGUGUAGCUAAAGAGUAAUAUAUACCUACACAUGUAUGUGUGGCUGAAAGUAAUAAGUAUGUGUGGGUAUCAGUGUUGUAAAACUCGCCGAGUUGGCCGAUUACUCCUCCAAGUACUCGCUACUCCCCCCCUUGCCGAGGCGAGUUACAAAAUCCCGAGUACUCCCCGAUCGGUCCCUUACGAACUGAGUAGUGUUGUGAAAUUCGGUCAACUCGGUGAUUAAUAUGUAUAAUAUACUUAAUGAUUUAUUAUUUAACACACACAUGUGAUUAUUACUACAUAUAUAUAUCUUAAAUUUUCAGUAAUUAUUCACGAAGUGAGACCAUUAUGUGUUUUUCAUUUUUUGUGUAUUCACAUGUAUCCAAUUUUGUUAUAUAUUUCAAUCAACUUAUGAUUUUAUCUUAUGAUUUUGACAUAUAUAAUUUCCCUAAAAAUAUUUCUACACAAAAUUCCAAAUCCGAGUACUCCCCGAGUACUUUCGAGUACUCCCAAGUACUCGCUACUCGGUAGUCGGCCGAACAGGUACCGAGUAACGAGUUCUACAACCUUGGUGGGUAUAAGUAUUUUGAUUUGUUUGAGAUGUCAAUGACGUGGCCAUUGACGUAGUUGUUGACAUAGCCGCUGACGUGGAUUGCAAGGAUGACGUGGUUAAUGACGUGUCUCAAAACUAUGUGUGGGUAAUUGUAUUUUUAUGUGUAGAUAAUAUUAGUAUAUGUGUAGGUAUCGAGUCUGACAUGAGUUGGUAGUCGGUAAAAAUAUAUUUAUAUGUGAUAUUAAAAAGCAAUGUUUUAAAAACCGGUUUUUUAGUUGAACCGGUAUGGUGACCGGUUCCCGGUUCGACCGCCGAGUGAACCGGUUUCUAUAUUUUUCAUGUUUUUUUCUAUUUUCCUACACAUACAUACAUAUAUAAAUUAUAAAUUUGAUGUUUACAAGUUCAAACAUUAAAAAUACACAUAAAAAUAAGUUGUAAAUGAAUCAAAAUACAUUAAAAUAAUACAUAACCAUAAGUUUUAAUGUUUUACAUCAAUCCAUAUAUGCUAAAAAGAAAAUAAAAUAUAAUACCAAAACGAAAUAUAGCUUUAGAUGAAUACAACCACAUCAAAAAACUUUAUAAAAUUUAACAUAUGUUUUUAUUUAGAGAAAACUAAAUAUAUUUGAAAAAAAAAAUACCAAAGUUUAUUAUGUAAAUAUUUAUUUUUCAUGUGUUUUUAUUCGGAUUAACCGGUUCAACCGGUUUUUUCUAAAAACCGGUCGGUUCAAUCCGGUUCAGAAAUCAAUGUAAAACCGGUGAUAGUUGAACCGCUCCUCCCCCGGUUCCCGGUCCAACCGGUUCAAACGGCCGGUUCAAACCGGUUUUUAAAAUAUUGAUUAAAAGUCAUGUAUGUAGGUAAUAUUGUUCGAUAUAUACAAAAUAAAUACAAGCAUUUAUAUAAAUAGAAACAUGCACUAAAAAUAUCAUUAUAAAUUAAAUGUUAUCUAACAUAAUAAUUCAAACCACAAGAAAAUUACAAGUUAUAAAACUUAAAAUACUUCAACCACCACAUAUAAACUAAUCAUAAGUAUACUUUUAAAUACUAAAAAUUCAUGAAUGUUCAUUCCAUGUCAUCAUACCUAUCAACAUUUUCACCACAUACAUCACCAAAUUGUCCUAAACGUAUCACCAGAUUGUCCUAAACGUGUGUGGUAAUGUACCACGCUUGGAUGUAUCACCGUGAGAUUGUCCUCAUGAUGUGGUUAGAGGAUGAGGCAUGAUAUUUUUCUCAAUAAAAAAUUGUUGUAUAGCUAUGCACAUUUUCCUUUCAAUGUUUCCAAUUCAUCCACAAAUUCAUCGUCACUAGAAUGCUUAGAGUUCUUAGAAGAACUCGCGGUGUUACCAUCGACAACAAAAUCACGUCCCUACCAGCAAAAACGUACCAAGCUUCUUCCAAGUAUCUUCUGUAAAAUCAACUUGUCGUUCAUUUAUUCCACAUGAUGCUCGUUUCUCAUCAUUUUCAUUACUUCCUGUUAGUGCAAAAAGUAAGAUGAGUAAAAUAAAUCAAUUAUUUACCAAAUAAUGCAUAUUCAACUGUAGAAAUGAGCACCUAAAUUUACAUAUUUUGCAGCCAUAUGCAUAGAUAUCAACCUUUUUCUUCAUACCAAUAGUGGGCGGGAUAGAGGUAUAAUGUUAUUAUCAUUCUCAUUAAAGAAAAGUAGGGGUGUCUAAAUUUUCAAGUACAAGAACAAACAUAUCAGUGAUACAUACUGCAUUCGCAAAAAAAAGAUAAAUGUAAACAAUCAAUAAUAUAUCUAUAAACCACAGAAGGUGAAAACAGGAACAGUGGAUUGUGAAGACUGAAGAAUAAUGGAGUAGUCGUACCUUGAUUCCUAAAACUCGUUUUUUCCCCGUGAUACCUCGUCGAGCGUUCACCGUGUUUAGGGUUUUGUGGAGUUUUUUGGGAUGAUAACAAUGAAGCAGCAAAAUCAUUACCUUCUAUAAACCCCAUGACUCAUGAAUUACGGAAAGGAUUCUGAUUUCAAAUCGAAUCGUGAAAAUAGGAGGGGAUUACCCAAUUACUUCGCAAUGGUGAUCUCCAAUCCGUUUCUUUUAAUUUGUAUGUUAAAUUUCAUUUAAAUGUUGUUUUAAUUCUUUGUGGACGAUUGACUUGCCACAUCAAUUUUUUUUUAAUUUAAAAUUUUAAUAGAAUAUUUAUAUUUAUAAACUAAUAGUAUAUGUUGCCAGUUGCUAAAAUUUUAAAAAUUAACCCACAUACGUUUGAAUUAUAUAUACAUGUGUAGUCAAUUACCGAUAGAUAUUCAAUUAUCAACUACGUGCAAGUAUUUAGCUUGCCACAUCAUUAUCUAAAACUAAUAAAGAAAAGAGUGAAACAAUUAUUUAUAUAUUUAACUACAUAUUUAUAUACUAAAAUUUAAUGAAUUAUCAACACAUUU